rnacentral:lncRNA from 1 species
ACACAUCUAACCACUCUUCAGCUGAUAUCCACUUGCUGACAAAUGAAUCUCUCUGGCCCCUGGACUGUGCCCUGAAACACAGCUUAAAACAGCAGAAUGAACAGUAAUCCCAGAGAUCCUGAGAUGAGAAAAGGGUGUUUGACUUAUUCAAAGAAGACCAAGGAAGCCCAAAGACCAGAGAAGAGUGCAGGAAAGGGGCGGCGGUCUGAGAUGCAGUCAGAGCAGUGGCAAGCCCCCAGAGUCUGUGGCAAAGACUUCAGGUUUCAUCCUGAAGAGGAAGACAGGUCUUUGGAGAGUUUUGAUCAAGGAAGUGAGAUGAAAUAUCUUAGGCUUACAAAGAACUACUCUGACAUCUAAAUGGAAAAUGGACUGAUGAAGCAAAAGAAGCCACAAGGAAGCCAGUUCAGAGGCUAUUGAAAUGCUCCAGAGGAACAGCGGUUUAUUGAAAGGAAAGCAAAUGUCCAGAAGCAAAAACAAACAAACAAAAAACAAACAAACAAACAAAAACAGAAAAAACUUCCCCAAAAGUAAAGAAUCACAGCUUUAUUCAGUAGCUCCUCAAUUAAAAUAGUCAUCUUCUUAAUUGUGCCAUCUUCAGAAGCAGCCAUAUAUACUGUAGUUAAGAGGCACAUGGUGAGAAAUUUGGGGUCCAAUCAAGAUGAUAGGAUUCAUCUACAUGGCAGCCCUCAAAGAUUCUGGAAGAGAAAAAUGGUGAAAAGAUACUCAGAGAGUGAGAGCCUUCAGAUUUGGGUGAGUGAUGCCAUUAGAACCAAGAUUUCUUCCAUUCUUCUGCUCUAUCAUUCUCAGCACAACAUGCUUUUCUCAUUAAGGCCGCUGUGGUUCGUCUUCUGCCUGGGAACUGGAUAAAAACAUCAGUGAAUACCCCAAAGAUUUUCAAAAAUGCUUGUUGAUAAAAUGAAGUCAGAAUGUGAGAUGAGCCCUUCCACCUGAGUGAUGUUGGUCUUGGCUGUGUGAUUUGCUUUGGCUGAUGAUAAGUUGAUGGAAGUGAUAGUAAGACAAUGCUGAGCCUCAUCCUCGGAAGUAUCUCUGCCUUCACCUGGCUUUGUGCACCACUGCCCUGGCUUUGAGAAGAACAUGAGCCCAGUAAAUUGUUAGUCCAGGAAGAAUGAGAGCCCUAUAUUAGGUAUUGAGGGUUCAGGGAUGAACUAAGCUGAUCUGGUUCCUGCUCUCUAGGCUGUAGAAGAUGGCAAGUGCUGUGGACUUCAAAGAAAAGAUUUCUGAAGUGUCAUGUUAUGACAAUUGUGAUGCUUCAAACUAUGUUGACUAUUCAUUUACAGCAUAAAGAAGAGUGAGCCACUUUAUCACUGCAGUAAUUAUAUUUUAAAAAUAAAGAAAAUAAAACAAAUGGAGUUUCCCACCCAAUCCAUGGAGACACAGACACGAAGUCUUACUAUAGAUGUGUGGCCAAUCCUUACAUUGCUUUUAUUACAAGCCUGGAAAUGACAAUAAAAUACAUGAACUUGAGAGUAUAUA